rnacentral:tRNA from 1 species
GCCUGGGUGGCUCAAUUGGUUAAGCAUCCGACUUCUGCUCGGAUCAUCAUCUUGAGGUUCCUGGGUUCAAGCCCGCAUCAGGCU